rnacentral:rRNA from 1 species
GACGAACGCUGGCGGCGUGCUUAACACAUGCAAGUCGAACGGAAAGGCCCUGCUUGCAGGGUACUCGAGUGGCGAACGGGUGAGUAACACGUGGGUGAUCUGCCCUGCACUUCGGGAUAAGCCUGGGAAACUGGGUCUAAUACCGGAUAGGAGCCAUUUUUAGUGUGAUGGUUGGAAAGUUUUUUCGGUGUAGGAUGAGCUCGCGGCCUAUCAGCUUGUUGGUGGGGUAAUGGCCUACCAAGGCGGCGACGGGUAGCCGGCCUGAGAGGGUGGACGGCCACAUUGGGACUGAGAUGCGGCCCAGACUCCGACGGGAGGCAGCAGUGGGGAAUAUUGCACAAGGGGCGCAAGCCUGAUGCAGCGACGCCGCGUGUGGGAUGACGGCCUUCGGGUUGUAAACUCCUUUCGCUAGGGACGAAGCUUUUUGUGACGGUACCUAGAUAAGAAGCACCGGCUAACUACGUG